rnacentral:lncRNA from 1 species
AUUCAACAACACCGUUUAAAGUUAAGUGCAAAUUUUAGUUUUCCUUUUUUUUUUUUUUUUUUCAUCAAGUACAUGUACACAAGAUAUGUGGUGCGUCUUUUCAAAAUUAGUUCAGUUCUAUACUCUCAUAUCUCCAGUAAUAUCUAAUUCCUUGGAUGAAUUCAUGCAUAUCUCAUUUUAUUAUACAUGACUGACUCUAUAUAUAUAUAUAUAUAUGUGUGUGUGUGUGUGUGUGUGUGUGUGUGUGUGUGUAUCAUAACAUAUUGAUUUCACCAAUUUAACAUAGCAACCAAUGUAGCUCUUAAGCAAAACAUGUUCCACAAUCAAAUAAAAGAAAAGAGAUCAAUAAAUUGAUAAAACCAAGUUUACUGCUGAAAUUUAAUAUCUUCAGUCACAUUCCACCGAAUUUGAUUUAUUAAGUUCAAUGAAUCCUAGCACAACGAGAGCACCUCAUUGCCGCCAACCAACGACCCGUUCUAACCUGAGGUAGGGAAGAUGAUGAGCAUAUGGGAAUGCUCAAUAGGGCAGCACAAGUGUUGUGCAAUCCCGAAUAAAGUAUCAUCAUGCAUUAAAAUAAUCAUACUGUUAUGUCAUAUGUUUAAUAACCGGUAAAAACUCGUAUAUCAUAUUUUUAGUACCGGAUGAUCAUAUCAUAUCAUAAUUUUUAUUAGCAUAACAUUUAUCGGCAUGAAGAAAUAAAAUUAAACGGGACCAAAUCACUUGCACCUCGUUAUUCUACCUUAUUUUGAUCAAAUUAGUUUUUGAAAGGCAAAAUCCAAAAUCAUGUUCUAAACUUUAUUUUCUAUCUAUGCUUUUGUGCCGUGUAUGUGCAUACAUAUUCUUGAGUGUAAACCUUCCUCCAUCAUGUCUUAUAUAUAUGUAGGCAAUAAAUGAUAUAAUUUAUAGAGAGUUGGUGUCAAUGGAAACGUGUAAGACAAAGAAUUUUAAUAAGAAUAGGUUUUGAAUGUAGAAUCACUAUUUGAAUUUAUCAAAAUCAAAACAAAUUACUACACAUGGUUGAAUUAGAAACUUAAAUAAUAAUUAACAAAAAUUUUCAACUUCAAUAACUUGGGUUUAACUUAUCCAAAAUAACUACUUCUCGAGUCGAAGACUUCUAAUUAAUUACAGGGUACAUCCAAUAUUGGUGUACUAAUUAUCACACUAUCAAUAAUUAAUUAUUUGAC